rnacentral:tRNA from 1 species
GGGCCGGUAGCUUAGCGGAAAAGCGCCGCCUUCGCAAGGCGGAGACCCCGGGUUCGAAUCCCGGCCGGUCCA